rnacentral:rRNA from 1 species
UACGUAGGGUCCGAGCGUUGUCCGGAUUUACUGGGCGUAAAGCGCGCGUAGGCGGCUUUGUAAGUUAGAGGUGAAAGCCCGGGGCUCAACUCCGGAAUUGCCUUUAAGACUGCAUCGCUAGAAUCCGGGAGAGGUGAGUGGAAUUCCGAGUGUAGAGGUGAAAUUCGUAGAUAUUGGGAAGAACACCAGUGGCGAAGGCGGCUCACUGGCCCGCAACUGACGCUGAGGCGCGAAAGCGUGGGGAGCAAACAGG